AUUGAACGCUGGCGGCAGGCCUAACACAUGCAAGUCGAACGAGUGGCGGACGGGUGAGUAAUGUCUGGGAAACUGCCUGAUGGAGGGGGAUAACUACUGGAAACGGUAGCUAAUACCGCAUACCAUCGGGUGUGCCCCGCUGGGCUUAGCUAGUUGGUGGGGUAACGGCUCACCAAGGCGACGAUCCCUAGCUGGUCUGAGAGGAUGACCAGCAACACUGGAAAUGAGACACGGUCCAGACUCCUACGGGAGGCAGCAGUGGGGAAUAUUGCACAAUGGGCGCAAGCCUGAUGAAGCCAUGCCGCGUGUAUGAAGAAGGCCGUCGGGUUGUAAAGGACUUUAAGCGGGGAGGCGGUACCCGCAGAAGAAGCACCGGCUAACUCCGUGCCAGCAGCCGCGGUAAUUC
rnacentral:rRNA from 1 species